rnacentral:misc_RNA from 1 species
GUGGGAAUCCGCGUGAUUCGAUUUUGGUUGGGCAAGAAAAACAAAUUUUUAAUAAUAAAAAAAAAAUCUGAAGUUUGACUGAAGAAGAAUUUUAAUAAGAAAAUUCAAAAAAAUGUAACAAAAUAAGAUUGGUAAACGCUCCUUUCUCUUCCUUCUUCUCUUCCUCUUCCUCUGUUUUGUGCGUUUCCUCAACUCAAUACACAAGAAGAGAAACUGAGUUUUUUGCCUUAUAUGUGUGAAAUUGGAAGACAAUACUAUGAGUAGGCACUCAGUUGCAGGUGCUUCUCGCACUUCCUUCCUUCAAAGGAUCAAGGUCUCGUUUCGUUUCUCUUUAUUACGAUUGCUUGAUUUUUCUUCAUCAUAAUCAAUCAAUCAAUCAAUCUUUCUGUCGUUCUUCUUGUUGUUGCAGAAUCCAUGCCUCAAUCCAUCUUCCUCUGACUCUGGAAAAGGGAGAAGUAAAUCGUCAAGUAAAAAGAUGUCUCAUGGGUUUCAGUUGGUGGAAGGAAAAUCCGGCCAUGAUAUGGAAGACUAUCAUGUCGCUGAGUAUCGUAAAAUCAAGAAUCACGAGCUUGGAUUAUUCGCUAUCUUUGAUGGUCAUCUUGGGGAUCGAGUUCCUAGUUAUUUGAAAGACAAACUUUUCCUCAACAUACUUGAAGAGUCCAAUUUCUGGAUUGACCCUAAAACCGCAAUUAAGAAUGCAUAUAGAAACACUGAUAAGUUUAUAUUGGAGAAUUCAAUGCAAUUGGGUCCUGGUGGCUCUACUGCUGUUACUGCUAUUGUCAUUGAUGGCAAAGACUUAUGGGUCGCCAAUAUUGGUGAUUCUAGAGCUGUUGUCUGCGAGAGAGGCUGUGCCAAUCAGCUUACUGUGGACCAUGAACCGUACACAGAACGGAAAAGGAUUGAGAAGCAGGGUGGCUUCGUCACAACUCUUCCAGGAGAUGUGCCUAGGGUUAAUGGCCAACUUGCGGUUGCCCGAGCUUUUGGAGAUCAAAGUCUUAAAGCCCAUUUAAGUUCAGAGCCUGAUGUAAGACAUGUGCCCAUAGACUCAACUAUAGAGUUUGUUAUAUUGGCCAGUGAUGGUUUAUGGAAGGUCAUGCAGAAUCAAGAGGCAGUUGAUUUGGUGAAACCCAUCAAGGAUCCACAAGCUGCUGCCAAGCGCUUAACGACUGAGGCAUUGGCAAGAAAGAGUAAGGAUGAUAUAUCAUGCAUUGUGAUCCGUUUUGGUUGAGUAUGCUUAAAUAGCACAUUGCUAUUACCAAAGUGAAUGACCAUGGUUAGUGUCGUCCCUUUCAAUUAUGAGCUGGUUGGGUGUGUUUAAAGCUGGAAAUAGGGGACUAUAUGUGGGUCUCAGAGCUUUGAUUUGUGUAGUUUUUUUGUUAGAAAUUUUCAUGCUAGAGCAAAGUUAAGAUGGAAGUGAUGAAGCAUUUUAUAUUUGACCAAGGGAAGAGAUACCCUCAUUAAUCCAUGGCUAAUGGGCCAUCUCCUUACACAGGUGUGUCGAUAUAGAUGAUAACUGGGUUGGAGUGCAGAUAAUGGGGUUAAUUCUUUCAUUGGACAAAUUAUAGGGUUUAGAUUCUAAUUGUGUGUAUAGUUUGUGGACAUAAUACGGUACUGUUACUCUCUCUGUCUCUUGUAAUAUAUGUAGUGGUGGUUGUCUUGUCUUGUGGUUAUGCAUAGGCUGUGUCAUUAAGUGCUUGCUAGUUGCUACUUGGCCAAUGCAGUCUUGUUAUUUCACCUCUUGGGGUUUUAUAGUAACGCCACUAAAUAAAAUGAUGCAUGCUUGCAUGGCAUUUGACUUAUUUAAUAGAUGUUAAU